AUUAUAAAAACUUUAAUUUAAAAACUGCAUUUUGUGUUCACUUGUGUUGUCUUUGACUUAUAUUUAAAUUUGUUUGAUCUGAAACAUUGCAGUGUGAAAAACAUGCAAAAACCUAAGGAAUGAGGAAGGGGGCAAACACUUUUUCACACUGCUGUAUAUAUAAAGAGGCAGUGUUACAAUAAUGAAUGACCCCUCACAGAUGCUGAUUGUUUUUUUUGUCCUCUGUUCAGUGAAGGACGAGCGUCCAUGAUUUCCAAAAAGAAUCUAAAAGUUUGACUCCUCAGACCACAGGACCGUUUUUCAUUACCUCUUAUUUUACCUCUUUGGGGGACAAAUAAAGGCAUUGAUUGAUUGAUUGAUUGUACGGUGAUUUGAAAGGCACAUUUUGUUGUGUAUUUUUUAAGUUAUUGUUACUUUUAAAUGAACUUUAUUUCCAUAAAACACUUUUUCUGUUUCAACAUUUGAUAUGUUGUCUUUGCUCUACUAUUUUCAGGUAAAUGUCAAGUUUAAAUCUUCAACAAACCUUCAAAAUUUGCGUGUUAACUUUUGGAUAUUGGGGUUGUACUUGUUGCUGUUAUGGUGACAGCUGGUUUCUCCUCCACCACCUCAUGGGGGGUGACCAGGCCUGUGGCUGUUUGUGGCCCCUCAUGUUGACAUGACAGCAGCUCCCUCUUCUCUGGUUCAAUCCCACCAUACAUCCUAAUGUUACUGUAUGCCAUAACGUUUCUAAUCAAUUAUGGUUAUCAUGAACAAUAAAAAGAUUAUAUGAAUGAAA